ACUUGGGUGGCUCAGUUGGUUGAGCAUCUGACUCUUGGUUUCAGCUUGGGUCGUGAUCCCAGGCCGUGGGAUCGAGCCCCACCUCAGGCU
rnacentral:tRNA from 1 species